AAUAAAUGCGAAUAAAUUUUAUUAUCUAAAAGUUAAAAAUGUAAUUUUUAAUAUAUAAUUAAAUUUAUUAGGUUAAAUUUUAAAUUUAUAAAAUUAUUAAAAAAUAAAUUAUUUUAAGCUUACAAAAUUUUAUUAAUAAACUAGGAUUAGAUACCCUACUAUAAAAAAUGUAUUUUUACAAGAUAGAGUAGUAUAAGCUAUAUUCUUAAAACUUAAUAAAUUUGGCGGUAUUUUAAUCUAUUCAGAGGAACUUGUUUUUUAAUCGAUAAUCCCCGUUGUAUCUUACUUAUUUUUUUAGUUUGUAUACCAUCGUCAUAAGAAUCUCUUAAAAAAGAAAAAAUUUUCUUAAUAGUUUAAUAUCUAAAAUGUCAGAUCAAGGUGCAGCUUAUGAAUAAGUAAAAAUGAGUUACAAUAAAAUUAUUUAUACGAAUUGUUAAUUGCAAUAUUAAUUUAAAGGUGGAUUUGACAGUAAAAUAAAUUAAAAAAUUUAUUUGAUUUUAGUUCUAAAAUAUGCACAUAUCGCCCGUCGCUCUCGUUAUUUAAAAUGAG
rnacentral:rRNA from 1 species